CCGAACGGGAAUCGCUAUCAAAUUUUUUACAAACAGCUGAAAAAGAGGGAGAACGAUGUUAUAUAUACCUUGAUUGAAUGAUGCUAUUCGAGAAGAUGCAAUAAAUUGUGAACGAUUUACUGGCUAUAGAACUGACCGCCAAAUCACAACACACCAAUGACGAUAUUUGAACUCCGACCGUCUUUAAAAUUGAACUAAGAUACUCAACUUCACUUUACGAGGACGAUCGAGCUCGGAGAAGGUAUCACUUUGACGCCUG